GACGAACGCUGGCGGCGUGCUUAACACAUGCAAGUCGAACGGAAAGGCCCUGCUUUUGUGGGGUGCUCGAGUGGCGAACGGGUGAGUAACACGUGAGUAACCUGCCCUUGACUUUGGGAUAACUUCAGGAAACUGGGGCUAAUACCGGAUAGGAGCUCCUGCUGCAUGGUGGGGGUGGGAAAGUUUCGGCGGUUGGGGAUGGACUCGCGGCUUAUCAGCUUGUUGGUGGGGUAGUGGCUUACCAAGGCUUUGACGGGUAGCCAGCCUGAGAGGGUGACCGGCCACAUUGGGACUGAGAUACGGCACAGACUCCUACGGGAGGCAGCAGUGGGGAACAUUGCACAAUGGGCGGAAGCCUGAUGCAGCAACGCCGCGUGCGGGAUGACGGCCUUCGGGUUGUAAACCGCUUUCGCCUGUGACGAAGCGUGAGUGACGGUAAUGGGUAAAGAAGCACCGGCUAACUACGUG
rnacentral:rRNA from 1 species